rnacentral:rRNA from 1 species
AACUAACGCUGGCGGCGUGCCUAACACAUGCAAGUCGUACGAGAAAGUCGGCUUCGGCUGAUGAGUAAAGUGGCGCACGGGUGAGUAACGCGUGGAUAAUCUGCCCUUGAGUGUGGAAUAACGUACCGAAAGGUGCGCUAAUACCGCAUAAUGCCUGGCAACACAAGUUGUCCGGCCAAAGAAGGCCUCUGUUUACAAGCUUUUGCUCAAGGAUGAGUCCGCGUACCAUUAGCUAGUUGGUGGGGUAACGGCCUACCAAGGCUACGAUGGUUAGCUGGUCUGAGAGGACGACCAGCCACACUGGAACUGAGACACGGUCCAGACUCCUACGGGAGGCAGCAGUGGGGAAUUUUGGACAAUGGGCGCAAGCCUGAUCCAGCCAUUCCGCGUGCAGGAUGAAGGCCUUCGGGUUGUAAACUGCUUUUGUACGGUAACGAAACGGCGAGCUCUAAUACAGUUUGCUAAUGACGGUACCGUAAGAAUAAGCACCGGCUAACUACGUGACC